rnacentral:lncRNA from 1 species
GGUGAGGUGGUGAUUUUCAGAGAGAGGGGAAGAGAGGGUGACUGCAUCAUUAAUUCUCCAAGGAACAGCCACAAAUUCUCUUCAAAGUGGGCUGCCACUUUCCAUCACACAGGGGAGCACACGCGCUGUCAAUCCACCAAGGAGAGAUCCAUGCUGCUGGUCUACAGGGGAAGAAACCGGCUGCCACGUUCACAAAGAUCCAUGCACAACACGCAGGGGACUUUUCUUUGACGAGGAGAGAUCAAUACACGGAGGAUUUUUUUAGAGGAGCACACGGAGACAUAUUGGAUUUUUUUUUCUGGAGCAAAGGAAGGAGCCAAGAACCACACGAAAAAGAAACCAAACACACACAACCAUACGGAGGAUUGAUAUCAAAGUGGUGGUGACAUAGGCCAAAAGAGGACACAGUCGGCUGCAUCUUGAAGAAGAACACAGCACCACCGCACCAUGCGCUGAGAUUCCAUGCCUCUCCAAAGGUACCCACAUGGCUGCAAGUUGAAGAGGAACUCACCAUAGCCGCACCAUCCAUUGAGAACCAGCCG